AUGCCGGGACCGGAGCCGCAGCCAGGGCCGGGGCGGGCGGCGCGGGGAGUGCAGCAGCGCUCGGGGCCCGGGGGUUGUUCCGCUGCCGCCGCCGCCGCUCCGGGCCCGCCCGGACAAAGUCCCUGCGCCAUGAGCGGCCGCCGCCCGGUGUUCCCCGGCCUCCCAGGUAGGGCCGGUGCCGGUACCGGGGGGUGCGGGGGGUCCGGGGCUCCCCAGGGCUCCCCCGCACCCAGCGGCCCGUCCCCGCAGGGGAGCUGGUGCUGGAGGAGGCGGCGGGCGCGCGGCAGCGCUGCGGCGGCAGCGACGGCUCCGUCCCCGGGACGCUGCUUUGCACCAACCGCCGCGUCGCGUUCCUGCCCGCGCAGGUGCGGCCGGGAACGGGAACAGGAACGGGACAGGGAACAGGACAAGGAACAGGAACGGCCACGGGAACGGGACAAGGAAGGGGACAGGGAACGGGAACGGCCACGGGAACGGGACAAGGAAGGGGACAGGGAACGGGAACGGGACAGGGAACGGGAACGGCCACGGGAACGGGACAAGGAACGGGACAGGGAACGGGAACGGCUUCGGGAACGGGACAAGGAACGGGACCCCGCCUUGCCGCCCGCGCCCCGCCCCGGUCCGGGGGACCCCCGACCUCCAUUGCGCUUCAUCCCCAACCCAGCCCCUUCCCGGUCCCCCAUCCCACGUCUUCCCUACCCCAUCCUGACUCCCAUGCUGACCCCAUCCCAGCUGCAUCUACAACCCCAUGCCAGUGGCACCCCAGCUACAUCCCAACUCCAUCCAUCCUCACCGGCUGCAGAACCACUGCGUUCACGCGGGGAACUCCUUGCUGCGGGACGCGGUGGGGGGACGAGGGCCCAGCACCAGCCGGUACAGGGCGGCGGGGGCUCGGGUCCGGCCCCUUUGCCCUUCCCAGGGGGGAGCUUCCAGCUCUUCCCGCUCUCUCGCAGGCCCCCGGCUCUUCCCGUCCCUUCCUCCACAGCGAGCACGAGGUGGCGCUUCCCUGCAUCCGCAAGCUGGUGGCAGGUAACGGCGGCCCCGUGCGAUGAGUUGGGCAGGUCUCAGCGCGCACUGACGCCCGCCCCGUCUCACCCCCCCCGCAGCCAGCAGCUUCACCAAGCCCAAGGUGCUGACGGCCUCCUCCACCCUCAAGUUCAUCCCGGAGGAACUGGCCGUUUUCUGCCGGGAUUUCCGCCUCCUCCGCUUCUACUUCCAUGA
rnacentral:lncRNA from 1 species